AUUGCACGCUGGCGGCAUGCCUAACACAUGCAAGUCGAACGGAGCGGCGGACGGGUGAGUAAUGCCUAGGAAUCUGCCUGGUAGUGGGGGAUAACUCCCGGAAAACGGCGCUAAUACCGCAUACUAUCAGAUGAGCCUAUAUCGGAUUAGCUAGUUGGGGGGGUAAAGGCCUACCAAGGCGACGAUCCGUAACUGGUCUGGGAGGAUGCUCAGUCACACUGGAACUGAGACACGGGCCAGACUCCUACGGGAGGCAGCAGUGGGGAAUUUUGGACAAUGGGCGAAAGCCUGAUCCAGCCAUGCCGCGUGUGUGAAGAAGGUCUUCGGGUUGUAAAGCACUUUAGGUUGGGAGGCGUUACCAGCAGAAUAAGCACCGGCUAACUUCGUGCCAGCAGCCGCGGUAAUAC
rnacentral:rRNA from 1 species